GGCAACGCAGCACGCUCCUCCCGGGGGCCGACGUUGACGGAGGGGCGCCACGGUUUGAAGUUACGUGACUUUCUGUUCGAACGCCUCAUCCGCCCGGCUUCAGCGAAGCAGUCCCGCCGGCGAAGAGGGUCUUGGCAGCAGGAUUAAGUGAGGCGGCUUUGCCAGGCAAAGGCUGUGCUGUGGACAUGGGCAGAACUGUGCUGCACAGCUAGUCAGGAGCAACACCCCUGACCUCAGGGGUACACCUCGAGAGGAAGUCUUUACACCUUUCCUGGAGGCAUUAGAAGGGUGUCCAAGAAGCAGAAGAAUCCCAGGACCAUGGCUAAUAAAACCCAGGAGGUUGGUGGUAUCCAUUUCCCUUUUCCCUUCACACCCUAUUCCAUUCAGAAAGACUUCAUGGCAGAGCUGUAUCAGGUGUUGGAGGCUGGCAAGAUUGGAAUAUUUGAGAGUCCGACUGGCACUGGAAAAUCUUUAAGUCUUAUUUGUGGGGCCCUUUCCUGGCUCCGUGACUUUGAGCAGAAGAAACAUCAAGAAGAGGCACGUCUCCUUGAAACUGGAACUGUCCCCUUAAGUGACGGGCAGGAGCAGUCCCCGUCUCUCUCAUCCUCCUGCAAAGAGACCCCAGACACCCUGAGGCCUGUGGGAGAGCCUGACUGGGUGACUCAGUUUGUGCAGAAGAAAGAAGAAAGGGACCUGGUAGACCGACUGAAGGAGGAGCAGGUCAGGAGGAAGAAGCGAGAGGAACGCCUGCAGCAGAUCCGUCACAAUGCACAGCUCAAGUAUGCAGCCAAGCGCAUGAGACAAGAGGAAGAAGAGAUGGAGCGUGUCCUCCGCCUCAGCAGGGAGGCGCUGGCGGCAGGGGCAGCGGCCGAGCUGCCAGAGCAGCCAGCAUGUGGGGAGGAGGACCUGGUCCUCGCCGAGUAUGAGAGCGACGAGGAGAAGGGAGCGGCUGGCAGAGUGGACCAGGAUGAGGAUGGCCCGGAGGAGGAACAUGUAACUAAGAUUUACUACUGCAGUCGGACGCACUCCCAGCUGGCUCAGUUUGUGCACGAGGUACAGCGGAGCCCCUUUGGCAAGGACACCCGGCUUGUCUCCCUCGGCUCUCGGCAGAAUCUUUGUAUAAACGAAGAUGUGAAAACCCUGGGUUCUGCGCAGCUCAUCAAUGACCGCUGCAUGGAGAUGCAGAGAAGCAAACACGAGAAGAGCAGAGCUGAGGAAGAGAAGCCCAAGAGGAGAAAGCAGGAGCGCCGGGCCACCUGCCCCUUCUAUGGCUACGAGCAGCUGCAGCUCCUCCGAGACCAGGUCCUGGUGGGGGUGAAGGACAUUGAGCAGUUGGUGGCGCUGGGGAAGGAGGCUCGGGCCUGUCCCUAUUACGGGAGCCGGUCUGCCAUUCCAGCAGCCCAGCUCGUGGUGCUACCCUACCAGAUGCUGCUGCACGCGGCCACCCGCCAGGCUGCGGGCAUCCGGCUGCAGGGCCAGGUGGUGCUCAUCGAUGAGGCCCACAACCUGAUCGACACCCUCACGGGCAUCCACAGUGCGGAGGUCAGCGGUUCCCAGCUCUGCCAGGCCCAUUCCCAGUUGCUCCAGUAUAUGGAACGAUAUGGGAAGCGUCUGAAGGCCAAGAACUUGAUGUACAUCAAACAGAUCCUGUAUCUGUUGGAGAAGUUUGUGACUGUGUUGGGUGGGAACACGAAGCAAAAUCCCAACACACAGAGCCUUUCGCAGACAGGGACAGAGCUGAAGACCAUUAAUGACUUCCUCUUUGAGAGCCAGAUCGACAACAUCAACCUGUUCAAGGUGCAGCGCUACUGUGAGAGGAGCAUGGUCAGCAGGAAGCUCUUCGGCUUCACAGAAAGGUACGGCACAGUCCUCGCACCCUCCAGGGAGCAGCCCAAACUGGCUGGGUUCCAGCACUUCCUGCAGAGCCUGCAGCCCACAGUGACCCAGACCUCUGUGACCCCUGUGGAGGAGGGCGAGGCCAGGGUGCCACGGCUGGCUUCCCCACUGAUGCACAUCGAAUCCUUCCUAGCAGCCCUCACCACUGCCAACCAGGAUGGCAGGGUCAUCCUGAGCCGCCAAGGAAGCCUUAGUCAGAGUAGCCUCAAAUUCUUGCUCCUGAAUCCAGCUGUGCACUUUGCCCAGGUGGUGAAGGAAUGCCGGGCCGUGGUCAUCGCAGGGGGCACCAUGCAACCGGUGUCUGACUUUCGGGAGCAGCUGCUGGCCUGUGCUGGGGUGGAAGCUGAGCGAGUGGUGGAGUUUUCCUGUGGUCACGUGAUCCCUCCAGACAAUAUCUUACCCCUUGUCAUCUGCAGUGGGCCCUCCAGCCAGCAGCUGGAGUUCACGUACCAGAAGAGAGAGCUGCCGCAGAUGAUGGAUGAGACUGGUCGCAUUCUCUGUAACCUGUGCACUGUGGUCCCUGGAGGGGUGGUCUGUUUCUUCCCCUCCUAUGAGUACCAACGCCAGGUCUAUGCCCACUGGGAUAAGAGUGGUCUGCUGGCCCGGCUGGCUGUCAAGAAAAAGAUAUUUCAGGAACCCAAGAGAGCAAACCAGGUGGAGCAGGUGCUGAUGGAGUAUUCCAGGUGCAUUAAGGUGAGAAAUAACUCUGAGGCCUCGGGUCCAGAGAACAGGGGGCAGCUGCCAGUAUCUUGCGUGGCAUCCAAGCUUUGGCUCCACAACCUGGGCUGGUAUUUCCCACAGUGCUGUGGCCAGGCGGGAGGCACGGUGACAGGUGCUCUGCUCCUCUCUGUGGUUGGAGGAAAGAUGAGUGAAGGUAUUAACUUCUCUGACAACCUCGGCCGGUGUGUGGUCAUGGUAGGCAUGCCCUACCCCAACAUCAAGUCUCCAGAGCUGCAAGAGAAGAUGGCCUACCUGGAUCAGACCCUACCCAGAGGCCCGGGUCAGCCACCACCAGGGAAGGCUUUGGUGGAGAACCUGUGUAUGAAGGCUGUCAACCAAUCUAUAGGCAGGGCCAUCAGGCACCAGAAGGAUUUUGCCAGCAUAGUGCUUCUGGAUCAGCGGUAUGCCCGCCCACCUAUCCUGGGCAAGCUGCCAGCCUGGAUCCGAGACCGUGUGGAGGUCAAAGCCACCUUCGGUCCUGCCUUUGCUGCUAUGAGGAAGGUCGGUCCUGCCUUUUCCUCCCCAACCCCCCGGGAGCUCCCCACCCCCGAGGUCUCAUGCCUCACUGCUUUCCCCUGUCGCCUCAGUUUCAUCGUGAGAAGUCUGUCCCUUCCUGAUGGACGGCCCACCAUUGCCUGGGUGCCAGGCUCUUCCUUCCCGCUGCCCACUUGAAAGGGUUAUUAGGCUGGUGUAUCGGCGGAAAACCUUAAACACAGUGCAUCUUGAGUCAGCAAAGAUCCUGACGGCUUCUCACAAAAUCCUUGGACAAGAUGGAGCUAUGGGGGUUGGAGGAGAGCACAUUUAGGAAAAAUCAGAGCCAGAUGAGCAACAGCACCCAAAGGGCACCGCUGAAGAACGGACUGAUUUCAGCCUUGCACAAAGGUCUCUGGCAAGGCCCCAUUCAGCCCACGAAACCCUGGGUUAGUAAACUGGAGAUAUCGAACGGAGGAGGGCCAAAACGGUCUGCGUGGGGAAUCAAGACUCAUAAUCUUGAGAGGCCGGAAGGAUGGACUGCAAUCAACAAGAUGAAGUUGACAAGCGAUGAAGUCCAGCACUUAGGUGUAAAAAGUCCAGUGCACAAACACACAAGAUGGAGGGCUAGCAAGGCCUGAGGUUUUGGUUAACCAGAGCUCAGUGAGAGCUAAGAGUGUGUUAAGCAGCUUGAGAAGGAAAUGGGAUUUGGGGGCACGCAGCUCCCUGUCCCUCCUCCCUUCUUUCAGUAAACAGGGGACAUCCACUCUCUUGGGGGCACUAGAGAGAAAACAGACCCCAGACUGUUGAGCUAAUCUGUGCUGGGCACCAACCUCUCCACGGCUACAUCCCCUUUAAACUGGAUCCACAUUUUAAGAGGACUCUGAAUUCCUUCUAGACUAACUAUAAGGUCUGUCUUCAUUGCUGUGUCUCUAGCACCUGGGACUGUGCCUGACAUGUAACAAAUACUGGCUGAAUGUAAAGUGACAAGUUCAAGAAUGUCCAAAGGAGGGUGAUGAGGAUGGUGAGGAGGGAGCCACUCAUGUCCUACAAAGACGACUGAAGGGUGUUCUGGCUACAGGACUGAGAAUGACACCGCUAAGAUGUGGUUAUUCCCAACGCAGCACACCAUCUUCUCCACGCCGGAACUUACUCCUUUGCUCCCUCUGCUGGCUUCCCCAGCCCUUCCUUCUACCCCCGCCUGUUCCCUCCUACCCGGCCUACACCGGGACUCCUCAAGAUCUGAAAUGACCAGUCUGCUCUUCCACUUCUUCUCGGGCAGUGACAUCCUCAGCUUCCCAGACCCGAAGCUGCCUAGAAUCCUCAUGAGGGCCGGGGAGUUACUCACCUCCCCACUUCUCUUCCCUCCUAUCAAAUGGCCAAAGUGGGGCCAGCUGACACCUAACUCAGGAACCCAACCCUCUGAGACCACCGCACUCCUUUCAAGAAGCCCCCCCAUUUAUAUUCAUAUUGAUGCAAAUUUGCUGGCCUCUCUAACUUAAUUCUGCACCUCGGUUUUCCCAUCUGUAAGCUCAGGAGAGGAUAAAAGGUAGAAGAUACUCUCCGUGCACACCUUGAGAUGCAUUCCUUGUAAGUUACCCCAACUGUUUGUGUAUGUGCACAGAAGGGGGUCGUACAGGAACAAAUCUCAACAAGGAAGUAGCAGGUCCAUUCAAGAAUUAAGAGACUGAGUACAGCUGGUUAAUGGCUUACUCCUUCUUUUAAAAAAAUUUUUUUAAAAGAUUUUAUUUAUUUGACAGAGGAAGACACAGCGAGAGAGGGAACACAAGCAGGGCGAGUGGGAGAGGGAGAAGCAGGCUCCCCGCUGAGCAGGGAGCCUGAUGCGGGGCUCGAUCCCAGGACCCUGGGAUCAUGACCUGAGCCGAAGGAGACGCUUGACGACUGAGCCACCCAGGCGCCCCCGGUUUACUCCUUCUGUCUCCAAACAUCUACGGAUCAACUAUUAGACGCCAGCCAGGAUCACAACAAAGAUGAAUAGGACACUAUGCUCUACGUAGAAAUGGCCUCAAAAACAACACGACAGGAUAAGUGCUCUAAUUCAGCCACAGUACAGUGCUAGGGAAGAAGCACCGAGGAAGGAGUGAUCCACCCCUCCAGAGGUUAAGGGAGUCAGCACAAGGCUCUCAGCAGACACGGCAUCUCCCUACGAGGCCUGGGGAGAGCAUGCCAGGUAGAAGGGCUUGAACAAAGGUGUGUAGGGAACGGCAAGUGGUCUUGAGUGAUAAGGGUAUAACUAUCCUUGGGCCAUUAGCAGGAAAAAAUAAAGCAGCCAAACCGUGAUAAACACUGCGAACCGCCUUAAGAAGUUUGCUCUGAAGCCCUUAGGCCCGAUCUGUCCAGUAUGGUAGCCUGUAGCUGCAUGUAGCCUGCCCGAGUGGAGGUGCAGUGUUAAGUGCAAAAUGUACACCCUCAUUUCAAAGACUUAGUAGGGAAAAAAAUGUAGAAUAUCCCGUUAAAAUUUUUAUAUGGAUUACAGGCUGAAAUGACCAUAUUUUAGAUACACAGGGUUAAAGAAAAUCUAUUACUAAAUCUAUUUCACCUGUUUCUUUUUACUUGUAAAUGUGGGGCUCACAUCAUAUUUCUAUUUGAUGCCACCACCUUACAGAAUCUAGUAAAAACCAUGGACCUAUCCAGAAAAUGAACAGACACCAUACCCGCCCGCCAGGGCUGUUUAUAAUCUCGGAAGUGCAUGGAAUCCUUCCGGCAAACCAUCCCUGGCCACCCAGCUCCCAGGGUCCUCAGCCCAGGUUAACGGCAACGGCGUGGGCAGUCAGGAAGCAAGCGCGGUGAAAGCCGUGAGCGAGAGGCUUCGACCUGCAUCGCCAGGCUGUAGCGAGAACCCUGCGAAGUCGCUCUAGCGGAAUCCCCUAGUCUCUACGUCAGAUCACCCUCCAUUUUUUCUGACCACGUGCCUCAUCCCCCACGAUCCCCCCGCUGCUAGCCCUUCGCCCUGGCGGCCCUCAGCAAGAAUCCUGUUGGUCAGCUGAGCAAAGAAUUACCUACCCUCCUAGUGAUUUUCCAUCCACCGCCCCCACCCCCGCCCCAGCCUGCUCCUUGGCUAUAAAUCCCCACUCGUCCAUGCCGUGUUUGCAAGUGACCCUGCUUCUGUACCGAGGUCUCUCCCUCUGUUGCGAAGUCCUGAAUAAAAUCUCUUUCUACUGCUA